CGUAGGGUGCAAGCGUUGUCCGGAAUUAUUGGGCGUAAAGAGCUCGUAGGCGGUCUGUUGCGUCGGCUGUGAAAACCUGGGGCUCAACCCCGGGCCUGCAGCCGAUACGGGCAGACUAGAGUUCGGCAGGGGAGACUGGAAUUCCUGGUGUAGCGGUGAAAUGCGCAGAUAUCAGGAGGAACACCGGUGGCGAAGGCGGGUCUCUGGGCCGAUACUGACGCUGAGGAGCGAAAGCGUGGGGAGCGAACAGGAUUAGAUACCCUGGUAGUCCACGCCGUAAACGUUGGGCGCUAGGUGUGGGUUCCCUUCCACGGGAUCCGUGCCGCAGCUAACGCAUUAAGCGUCCCGCCUGGGGAGUACGGCCGCAAGGCUA
rnacentral:rRNA from 1 species